UACGGAGGAUGCGAGCGUUAUCCGGAUUUAUUGGGUUUAAAGGGUGCGUAGGCGGGCUUUUAAGUCAGCGGUAAAAAUUCGGGGCUCAACCCCGUCCGGCCGUUGAAACUGGGGGUCUUGAGUGGGCGAGAAGAAGGCGGAAUGCGUGGUGUAGCGGUGAAAUGCGUAGAUAUAUGGAAGAACACCAGUGGCGAAAGCGGCUCUCUGGUCUGUAACUGACGCUGAGGUUCGAAAGCGUGGGUAGCAAACGGG
rnacentral:rRNA from 1 species